rnacentral:rRNA from 1 species
UGACGGUACCUGACUAAGAAGCACCGGCUAAAUACGUGCCAGCAGCCGCGGUAAUACGUAUGGUGCAAGCGUUAUCCGGAUUUACUGGGUGUAAAGGGAGCGUAGACGGCGAGGCAAGUCUGAAGUGAAAGCUCGGGGCUCAACCCCGGAACUGCUUUGGAAACUGUUUUGCUAGAGUGCAGGAGAGGCAAGUGGAAUUCCUAGUGUAGCGGUGAAAUGCGUAGAUAUUAGGAGGAACACCAGUGGCGAAGGCGGCUUGCUGGACUGUAACUGACGUUGAGGCUCGAAAGCGUGGGGAGCAAACAGGAUUAGAUACCCUG